rnacentral:rRNA from 1 species
UUAAAUUGAAGAGUUUGAUCAUGGCUCAGAUUGAACGCUGGCGGCAGGCCUAACACAUGCAAGUCGAACGGUAACAGGAAGCAGCUUGCUGCUUUGCUGACGAGUGGCGGACGGGUGAGUAAUGUCUGGGAAACUGCCUGAUGGAGGGGGAUAACUACUGGAAACGGUGGCUAAUACCGCAUAACGUCGCAAGACCAAAGAGGGGGACCUUCGGGCCUCUUGCCAUCAGAUGUGCCCAGAUGGGAUUAGCUAGUUGGUGAGGUAACGGCUCA